rnacentral:rRNA from 1 species
GACGAACGCUGGCGGCGUGCCUAAUACAUGCAAGUAGAACGCUGAAGAGAGGAGCUUGCUCUUCUUGGAUGAGUUGCGAACGGGUGAGUAACGCGUAGGUAACCUGCCUUGUUGCGGGGGAUAACUAUUGGAAACGAUAGCUAAUACCGCAUAACAAUGGAUGACACAUGUCAUUUAUUUGAAAGGGGCAAUUGCUCCACUACAAGAUGGACCUGCGUUGUAUUAGCUAGUAGGUGAGGUAAUGGCUCACCUAGGCGACGAUACAUAGCCGACCUGAGAGGGUGAUCGGCCACACUGGGACUGAGACACGGCCCAGACUCCUACGGGAGGCAGCAGUAGGGAAUCUUCGGCAAUGGGGGCAACCCUGACCGAGCAACGCCGCGUGAGUGAAGAAGGUUUUCGGAUCGUAAAGCUCUGUUGUAAGUCAAGAACGGGUGUGAGAGUGGAAAGUUCACACUGUGACGGUAGCUUACCAGAAAGGGACGGCUAACUACGUGCCAGCAGCCGCGGUAAUACGUAGGUCCCGAGCGUUGUCCGGAUUUAUUGGGCGUAAAGCGAGCGCAGGCGGUUUGAUAAGUCUGAAGUUAAAGGCUGUGGCUCAACCAUAGUUCGCUUUGGAAACUGUCAAACUUGAGUGCAGAAGGGGAGAGUGGAAUUCCAUGUGUAGCGGUGAAAUGCGUAGAUAUAUGGAGGAACACCGGUGGCGAAAGCGGCUCUCUGGUCUGUAACUGACGCUGAGGCUCGAAAGCGUGGGGAGCGAACAGGAUCAGAUACCCUGGUAGUCCACGCCGUAAACGAUGAGUGCUAGGUGUUGGAUCCUUUCCGGGAUUCAGUGCCGCAGCUAACGCAUUAAGCACUCCGCCUGGGGAGUACGACCGCAAGGUUGAAACUCAAAGGAAUUGACGGGGGCCCGCACAAGCGGUGGAGCAUGUGGUUUAAUUCGAAGCAACGCGAAGAACCUUACCAGGUCUUGACAUCCCGAUGCUAUUUCUAGAGAUAGAAAGUUACUUCGGUACAUCGGUGACAGGUGGUGCAUGGUUGUCGUCAGCUCGUGUCGUGAGAUGUUGGGUUAAGUCCCGCAACGAGCGCAACCCCUAUUGUUAGUUGCCAUCAUUCAGUUGGGCACUCUAGCGAGACUGCCGGUAAUAAACCGGAGGAAGGUGGGGAUGACGUCAAAUCAUCAUGCCCCUUAUGACCUGGGCUACACACGUGCUACAAUGGUUGGUACAACGAGUUGCGAGUCGGUGACGGCGAGCUAAUCUCUUAAAGCCAAUCUCAGUUCGGAUUGUAGGCUGCAACUCGCCUACAUGAAGUCGGAAUCGCUAGUAAUCGCGGAUCAGCACGCCGCGGUGAAUACGUUCCCGGGCCU